CUACAGGAUAAUGUAGUGCCUGCUCUAUGUGUAUAAAUGGCCGCAGUUUCCUGUGCUAAGGUAGCAUAAUAAUUUGCCUUUUAAUUUAAGGCUCGAAUGAAAGGUAAAACAUAUUGAUUUCUUUAUUUUUUUAAAUUAUCUAACCUAACCUUUUAGUAAAAAGGCUAAAAUAUAUAAAAAAGACGACAAGACCCUGACAAACUUUACUUUAUAGUUUUGCUGGGGGGGCAAAAAAAUCUAAUCUUUUUUAUUGAAAAACAGAAAAAUUCUAUUUCUUUACAAGUUACUGCAGGGAUAACAGCAUAAUUUUUUCCUAAAGAUCUUAUAAAAGAAAAAGUUUAUGACCUCGAUGUUGAAUUAGAAUAACUAUUAAGAGCAAAAUCUUUUCAAGUAAGUCUGUUCGACUUUUAAUUUUCUACAUGAUUUGAGUUCAGACCGGCGCAAGCCAGGUCGGUUUCCAUCUUUUUUAAAAAAUUUUUAGUACGAAAGGACCAAAAUUUCUAUUUUAUAUAUC
rnacentral:rRNA from 1 species